AGUGAACGCUGGCGGUAGGCCUAACACAUGCAAGUCGAACGGCAGCACAGUAAGAGUUUGCUCUUACCGGUGGCGAGUGGCGGAUGGGUGAGGAAUACAUCGGAAUCUAAUAUUUCGUGGGGGGGAACGGAAGGCAGGUUAUGCUAAUACAGCAUACGUCCUACGGGUGAAAGCAGUGGAUCUUCGGACCUUGCGCGACUGAAAGAGACGGUGGCGCAUUAGCUAGUUGGCGGGGUAAAGGCUCACCAAGGCGACGAUGCGUAGCCGAACUGAGAGGAUGAUCAGCCACACUCGACCUGAGACACGGUCCAGACUCCUACGGGAGGCAGCAGUAGGGAAUCUUGCACAAUGGGCGAAAGCCUGAUCCAGCCAUACCGCGUGGGUGAUGAAGGCCUUCGGGUUGUAAAACCCUUUUAUUAGGAAAGAAAAGCUGUAGAUUAAAACCUCGCUGUUCUGACGGUACCCAAAGAAUAAGCACCGGCUAACUACGUG
rnacentral:rRNA from 1 species